rnacentral:rRNA from 1 species
UGGGGAAUAUUGGACAAUGGGCGAAAGCCUGAUCCAGCCAUGCCGCGUGUGUGAAGAAGGUCUUCGGAUUGUAAAGCACUUUAAGUUGGGAGGAAGGGCAUUAACCUAAUACGUUAGUGUUUUGACGUUACCGACAGAAUAAGCACCGGCUAACUCUGUGCCAGCAGCCGCGGUAAUACAGAGGGAGCAAGCGUUAAUAGGAAUUACUGGGCGUAAAGCGCGCGUAGGUGGUUUGUUAAGUUGGAUGUGAAAUCCCCGGGCUCAACCUGGGAACUGCAUUCAAAACUGACUGACUAGAGUAUGGUAGAGGGUGGUGGAAUUUCCUGUGUAGCGGUGAAAUGCGUAGAUAUAGGAAGGAACACCAGUGGCGAAGGCGACCACCUGGACUAAUACUGACACUGAGGUGCGAAAGCGUGGGGAGCAAACA